AUGGAGUCGGGCGAGCCACUCCCACGUCGCGACGGCCGCCGCGGCGGCUGGCGCGCCGCGCUCUUCAUCGUCGCCGUCGGGUUCUUGGAGCGCAUCGGGUUCACCGGCGUGGGGGGCAACCUGAUCACGUACCUGACCGGCCCGCUGGGCAUGUCCACGGCGGCCGCCGCCGCCGGCGUGAACGCCUGGUCCGGGACCGUGCUGGUGCUGCCGCUCGUCGGCGCGCUCGCCGCCGACUCGCGCCUCGGCCGGUACCGCGCCGUCCUGAUAGCCGGCGUGCUCUACCUGCUGAGCUUGGGAAUGCUGACGGUCUCGUCCAUGCUGCAAACGCCGCAACCUCAUCCUGCCGGCUGCCACAGCACAGGCAGCACCUGCUCGCCGCUGCCCUCGGCAUCAUCGCCUGCCCGGCUCGCCUUCUUCUACACCGCGAUCUACCUGCUAGCACUGGCGCAGGGCUUCCACAUGCCAUGUUCGGAGGCUUUGGGCGCGGACCAGUUCGAUCCCAGCGUCGGUGCGUCCCGGAGCUCCUACUUCAACUGGUUUCACUUCUCCAUAUCGUGGGGCUACGCCAUCGCGGCGAUCGUGGUCACCUACAUCGAGGAGAAUGUCGGCUGGACGGAGGGGUUCGCCGUGUGCUGGGCCACCAUGGUGGUGUACCUCGUCGUCUUCUUGCUCGGCACGAGGACUUACCGUGUAGAGCAGCCCGUGGACAGCAGUUCCUUGGCGCACCUCACCAAGAAGCUCACAUUUGGAACCAACAAUGCCACCACUGACACACACCGGCUUUUGGCGACGGACCAAGAUGUGGACGGCAAAGGGUUCCUCAUUAAGCUGCUUCCUAUCUGGUUGUCAAGCAUAGUCAUCGCCGCGGCCACCUCGCAGGUCUCCACCCUGUUCACCAAGCAGGGCAGCACGAUGGACAGGCGCCUGGGCGCGGCCACGGGCCUCGUCGUGCCGCCCGCGGCGCUUCAGAGCUUCGUGAGCUUCACCUACAUCGCGGUGGUCCCCGUCUACGACCGCGCCCUCGUGCCCCUCGCGAGGCGCCUCACCAGGCACCCAGCGGGAGUCACCAUGCUCCAGCGCAUCGGCGCCGGCAUGGUCAUGUCCUGCGUCACCAUGGCCGUCGCGGCGCUCGUGGAAGCCAAGCGCCUCCGCGUGGCCGCUGACGCCGGCCUGCUCGACCGGCCCGACGUGGCGGUGCCGAUGAGCCUGUGGUGGCUGGUGCCGCAGUACGUCCUGGUGGGCUUCACAGAGGUGUUCUGCUUCAUCGGGCUGGAGGAGUUCUUCUACGACCAGGUGCCCGACGGGCUCCGCAGCGUGGGGCUGGCCCUGUGCCUGAGCAUCUUCGGCGUGGGGAGCUACGCCAGCGGCAUGCUCGUGUGGGCGGUCGACUGGGCCACGACGAGGGGCGGGGGAGAGAGCUGGUUCGCCGACAACCUCAACCGCGCGCACCUCGAUUACUUCUACUGGAUCUUGGCUGGCCUCAGCGCCUUGGAGGUGGUCGUGUUCUUGUAUUUUGCAAACCGGUAUGUGUACCGGAAGAAUUCUGAGCAGCCAGUCGCCCUCCAUUAG
rnacentral:rRNA from 1 species